GACCUGAGCCCUAGGACCAUGCCUCAGGACUACCUGGCAUGAUGACUCCUUGCUGUCCCCAGUCCACCUGGCCGUGCUGCUGCUCCAGUUUCAACUGUUCUACCUGCGGCUAUGGAACCCUGACCUGUUCACCGGACGUGCUUGUUGCACCCUCGACAACUACUAUGAUUAUUAUUAUUUGACCAUGCUGGUCAUUUAUGAACAUUUUAACAUCUUGACCAUGUUCUGUUAUAAUAUCCACCCGGCACAGCCAGAAGAGGACUGGCCACCCCUCAUAGCCUGGUUCCUCUCUAGGUUUCUUCCUUGGUUUUUCGCCUUUCUAGGGAGUUUUUCCUAGGGAGUUUUUCCUAGCCACCGUGCUUCUUUCACAUGCAUUGCUUGCUGUUUGGGGUUUUAGGCUGGGUUUCUGUACAGCCCUUUGAGAUAUCAGCUGAUGUACGAAGGGCUAUAUAAAUCAAUUUGAUUUGAUUUGAUUUGAUUGCAAAGCAAUCACUAGCCUGCUAUUCAGUGGAGUGGAUGUGUGGUCCCAAAUCUGGGAUUAGUGGGCUCUUUUCCAAGUUUAAAAUGAUAAACAUUCAACAUUGGCCAUGCUGUCAAUGAAGCAUAAUUUGUGACUUCAGUGAGUUCAAGACAACUGGGAAGUUGGGAAUAAACUUUUUUUUUUAAAGUUUUGAACGGUCAUCCAACUCGGAAUUGUAAAUCGUCCUCUUUCUAGAGCUACGACCUGAAGAUCAAUGACGUUAUCAUGAUUCAAACUUGUUUUUUUCCGAGUUCACAAUUGUUUUGAAAGCACCACAAAUCCAGAGAAUGCCAGACUUUGAUGACAAAAGUUUCCCACAAGGACCGCCAAGGACCACCUUCCUGUUCAAGUGAGCACAGAACAACAAGACAGUUUUAUGUUGCUGGAGAGAAUUUGAGGAGUGAGAGAGUCCUUCAAGUCAACUAACUCUACUGCUAGAGGGAAGAACUAGGUAGUUAAACCAGGAAAUGAACACACGAAAUGGAGGAAACAGGCACUGGGACCUGGCUCCCAGAACGCUAAGGCAGACGCAUUAUCCCGGCUGUAUGACACAGAGGAGCGGCCCAUGGAUCCCACUCCCAUACUCCCCGCCUCUUGCCUGGUGGCGCCUGUAGUGUGGGAGCUGGACGCGGACGUUGACAAUGAAAGUUACACAGUACUCUCCUCGAAUUAUCUGAUUACAGCACUGCAUUUUUCUUUUAACAUAGGAACUACUAAAUCAAAGGGACGGUAAAUCCCACGUCGGGAAGUUGACUCAAUGUCAUAUAAAAUGCGAAUCAAUUUAUAACAUUUUUGACAUGCGUUUUUCUGGAUAUUUUUGUUGUUAUUCUGUCUCUCACUGUUCAAAUAGACCUACCAUUAAAAUUAUAGACUGAUCCUUUCUUU
rnacentral:lncRNA from 1 species